rnacentral:lncRNA from 1 species
CGGCUUUUCACCCAGAGGUUGCAUCCUGGCAGCCUUGCAGGUCACAUUCCUUCUGCAGACAUGUUUAGUUGGAUCCACUAGAAUUUCCAAACAUUCUGAGUCAUUAUUUAAAAAAAACCUAGACUUGAGUUUCUAGAUUCUGUUCCAAAACUCGGAAUAUCAGACCUGCACCUGCACCCCACGUGGUGCUCGCUGUGGGAAGCCCCUAGCAGCCUGGGAGAAGGAUCUACACAUCUGCAGAUAGCAUCAGACAGGAAAUGGGUGUGAGCACCAGUAGGCACAAUGCCUGCCCUCCCCACCUUUACCUCCAGCCAUUUUCUCUGUUGCACCCGGAGAGCUGAGGUCUACAUGCAAGGGAGAAGAAGCAUGGUCCUCAGGCAGUGGAUCUGCUAGUGCUCUGGUGAGACACAUGAAUCCCCUCUAAUGCUAUGGAUGACAGCCAUGAUGGGAUGUGGCAAUUGACAACAUCCCAGAGUAGGCAUCUGGGUGAUGAAGCUUAAGGUCAUCUGAAGAAUCCUGGCCCUCUUGCCUCUAGUCACGGUGGCUGGAGGGAGUAGCUAUUAGCUCCGCAGUCUGUGUAUACCCAGCUGUAUCAAGCACUACUCUGAUCCAGGACUUCGCAAAGUCAACAGGUCUACUGGACAACAUGAACAACACCCUCCAUUCCAACUUUCACAUCUGAAAGAGGUGGAAAGGAACUGAGGGCUGAGCAGCCGGAACCCGCCUCUGUAUGUUUGCCAUCAGGGUCUGAGGCAGAGUUCUGUGGAGGAGCUCUGUAUUCCCUUUCUGCCCCACUCUCCUCCAAUGCCUCACUGGGUCAAGCCAAGGAAUUUUAGGUGGGAGAGCCACACAGCACAGGUAUCUGCAGAAAGGGCAUCCAGAAUGUGGGAGCAGCUACAGAGAGCCCAUCAGAGGACCCUGGAAGGUUCAGGGACUUAUGCACAACCUCUGACCAAAUGCAAGCUAAACAAAAUUGCUCUGUCCCAGAGUAAACCUAGGGCAACUCAAGGAAGCCAGGUGCAAAGAGUCACUCUUGGUUGCCUGGGAACACCUUUUCAUGAAGGACAACCAGGAGCUGUUAAUCCUGGCAGAAGACAGGGAAUGACCACAAACUCACACACCACGUAGGCAGGAUCUAGGCUAUACUCAAGGGCCCUGUGUUAAAUAGAAAAUGGAAUUGGCUGAGAGUGUAUGCUAUUUGGAGCUGGCAGUAGUCCUGCAAUCCUAGCUACUCAGUGGGCAACUUAUUGGACAAUUUAGUGAGAUCAAUAAAAAGGAAGAAAAUGGGGUUGGGAAUAUAGCUUAGUGUCUGUGAGGUUCUAGGUUCAAUUCCCAGUGCUGAGAAGGAAGGGAAGGAGGGAAAGAGCAGAAAGACCAAGCUUGGCUUGGCUUGGCGUGGGUUACUUGGCACUUUUGGCCUCUGGCCCAUUUUAUCCUGCUAUGCAUCUUCUGAUGUAUGCAGUGCAUGUGAGAUCCAUUUAUUCCACUAGUUACUGAGCACUGUCUGGACACUGCACACUGUUCUAGGCUCUAGGGGUACAACACCGAACAAGAUAAACAGGAUCUUCACCUUGGCCUUCAUGUUCUGGUUAAGAGAAGCAGAUAUUAAACAAGAGAUAUACAUAUAUAUAAUAUAUAAGAUAUAUAGAUAUAUAAGUGAAAUCGAUGUCCAUUAUAUGCUGAUGUGUGGUAGCAAGUAAAAUAAAGGUGAUGGAGA